rnacentral:lncRNA from 1 species
UGCUGGCAUAGGAUUCAGGAGACUGGCUUCUGUGUUUAAUGUUGACUUUGGACCUCUUGCUGCUUUAGUUUGAGAUGGUACCCAACAAAUUUCCCUCUCUUGCUCCAAAAUUUGAGACCUGGAUACAACCAGUCAAAAGUGUUUUUCAUUCACUUCCUGAUGAAGACGCCAAGAAUGCAAUGCUGAAAGCUGCUGCAAUGUAAGAACCAUCAUCUAUAAUGCUUCAUGGUCCUCCAUGGUUCAACUUCCAUGGGAAGCCACCGUCAGAGAUGCUGUGUGCUUCCUUUUUUGGUCUGAUUAUGCCAUGGCAGUUGACUGGCAGCCCUGCAAUCUGUUGGAGUUUGGAAGGAGAGAAGCAAUGCAGAUUGGCAGUGAGAAGUACUUUGAGGGCAUACUGCUUCCUACCUCUGCAAUCACCAAACACCUAAAGGCAAAACUUAGCAAAGCUGAAACCAGGACCUUCACCUCGGCAAUGCACUCCCACUGGAGCCACGUCUUACAGCAAACUUGGCAUCCAUCAGAAGGAGCUGUAAAAUGCACUUCUUUUAGCAGACUUCAAAGUUAUUAAGAAAUAUAAAAUCCAAAGCUCUUAGAGCCAAAUUUUUGAGGAUUUAUUGACUUACAGAUACAGGAAUCAGUGACAGUUAGACACCCAGACCCAUCUGAAAAUCUUUCAAAGUGUUUAUCUGCAGAUUUAUGUUCCUAAAUCCCUUUAGAAACCUGACCAAGAGCCAACUAGAUGAGCUUAUAUCUUUUUCUGUAUUAAAAUGUGGAAUAAAAG